rfam:Oryza sativa Japonica Group DNA, chromosome 12, cultivar: Nipponbare, complete sequence.
UUUUAGUGUAGCCCAUGAGUUUUCGUGUCCAAUUUUAAUCGUCCGUCUUAUUUAAAUUUUUUUUAUAAUUAGUAUUUUUAUUGUUAUAAGAUGAUAAAACAUGAUAAGUAUCUUAUGUGUGACUUAUAUUUUUAAUUUUUUUUUCUAAAUAAGACAACAAUCGAAGUUAGGCACGAAAAACUAUAGAUGCACUUAAA